AUUGAACGCUGGCGGCAGGCCUAACACAUGCAAGUCGAACGAGUGGCGGACGGGUGAGUAAUGUCUGGGAAACUGCCCGAUGGAGGGGGAUAACUACUGGAAACGGUAGCUAAUACCGCAUACCAUCGGAUGUGCCCAGAUGGGAUUAGCUAGUAGGUGGGGGAACGGCUCAACUAGGCGACGAUCCCUAGCUGGUCUGAGAGGAUGACCAGCCAUACGGGAACUGAGACACGGUCCAGACUCCUACGGUAGGCAGCAGUGGGGAAUACUGCACAAUGGGCGCAAGCCUGAUGCAGCCAUGCCGGGUGUAUGAAGAAGGCCGUCGGGUUGUAAAGUACUUUCAGCGGGGAGGCGUUACCCGCAGAAGAAGCACCGGCUAACUCCGUGCCAGCAGCCGCGGUAAUAC
rnacentral:rRNA from 1 species